rnacentral:lncRNA from 1 species
AUGCUGUCGUUACGGACUCAUAACGACAAGUUUCGUUAUGCUACCGACCGCGUCGCUAUUAUAACGACAAAUGCGAUUCUGUACACUAUUCUUAGCGAGUUUUGUCGUUAUUAGUAACGAAAAGUGUCGUUAUGACGUCGUUACGGUGCGAGCGGAUAGCGAGGCUCAGAGACCCCCUCGGUACGCUAUAACGACCAUUAUAACGACACUUUGCACACGAGCUAGAGGAGUGGUGUGCGUUUCACAUAUUUUUCUCGACUCCGAGAAAGUGCUUCGAAAAGUGCUCCGAAAGUGAAAAAUAAUUACGCCGUUUGAAAUAACAAGAUCAUGGUUAUCGAAUACCUUGCUUGGGAUGUAUUCGUUCUUGAGGAAAGAUUACGUCGACUCGAACGUCGUGUGGAAAGAAGGCGACUGAGAGAUGCUCAGAAUCCUUUUCAGUUACCACGAGAAGAGUUUCUCAGCCUUUUUCGCCUGUCUCAAGAAGCUGUGAUGAAUCUUGGUUAACACCUUAAGCGCAGUCAAAGCGAAAAUAUUUUUCACUGUUCAGCAAAACAGCAUAGGUGAUGCUGGAUAUCCGUUGGAGCCUUGGCUGUUAACACCUCUGGCCAAUUUUCCUGAAGAUACGCGACAACAUCAAUAUACACAACAACUAUGUAAGGCUAGAAGCGUCGUCGAGCGGUUUUCUGGAGUUUUUAAAUCUGUAUGGAGAUGCUUGUCAUACCAGCGAGUCUUGAUGUAUGAACCAGCGUUCGCAGCGAAAAUUGUUAAUGCGUGUGCAAUACUGCACAACAUGAAAGUGCAACUACGAUUAAGCAAUGAAGAUGACGAACAACUAGCUCCGAUAGCUCAUCCCGUAGAGAAUGAUGUUGAUCCGAUGGAUCAAGAUGAAGAAUACAACAGACGAGGACCACGCGCUUUGGCUCAACGAAUUCAACAACAAAUUAUGAGAGAAAGAUUUCCCAACUUCCGUGAUGCGGAAGAAUAGAAUACAGAAUAUGGAAUGAUGUUAAUGGUUAAAUUGCCAACAAGUAUACUGUUUAAAGGUGAUGAGAGAAAUUAACGACAAUAGAGUCAGGGCGGUGUUACGCUCCGACGUACCGCCUUGGCGUACCUUUUUCAAAAUUCCAUUUCAUUUCAUUUCUUUAAUUUCUUCAAUGCACAGAUAUUAUUUCAUCAAAAUCUCAUAUUCUAAUAACGGCGAGUUCCACCCCUCC